AUUGAACGCUGGCGGAAUGCUUUACACAUGCAAGUCGAGCGGCAGCACGGGGGCAACCCUGGUGGCGAGUGGCGAACGGGUGAGUAAUACAUCGGAACGUGCCCAGUCGUGGGGGAUAACGUAGCGAAAGUUACGCUAAUACCGCAUACGAUCUACGGAUGAAAGCGGGGGACCGUAAGGCCUCGCGCGAUUGGAGCGGCCGAUGUCAGAUUGGGUAGUUGGUGAGGUAGAGGCUCACCAAGCCGACGAUCUGUAGCUGGUCUGAGAGGACGACCAGCCACACUGGGACUGAGACACGGCCCAGACUCCUACGGGAGGCAGCAGUGGGGAAUUUUGGACAAUGGGCGCAAGCCUGAUUCAGCCAUUCCGCGUGCAGGACGAAGGCCUUCGGGUUGUAAACUGCUUUUGUACGGAACGAAAAGGCUCUGGUUAAUACCUGGGGCUCAUGACGGUACCGUAAGAAUAAGCACCGGCUAACUACGUGCCAGCCGCCGCCGUAA
rnacentral:rRNA from 1 species